CCUACGGGAGGCAGCAGUGAGGAAUAUUGGUCAAUGGCCGGAAGGCUGAACCAGCCAAGCCGCGUGAAGGACGAAGGUGCCAAGCAUUGUAAACUUCUUUUGUCAAGGGACAAAAUCAGGCUCGAGAGCCUGACAGAGGGUACUUGAAGAAAAAGCAUCGGCUAACUCCGUGCCAGCAGCCGCGGUAAUAGGGAGGAUGCGAGCGUUACCCGGUUUUAUUGGGUUUAAGGGGUGCGUAGGGGGGCUGUUAAGUCAGCGGUAAAAGCCCGGCGCUCACCCCCGGCGAGCCGUUGAAACUGGCUGUCUUGAGAUGUCGAGAGGUAUGCGGAAUGCGCAGUGUAGCGGUGAAAUGCUUAGAUAUUGCGCAGAACACCGAUUGCGAAGGCAGCAUACCGGCGGCGAUCUGACGGUGAGGCGCGAAAGCGUGGGUAGCGAACAGGAUUAGAUACCCUUGUAGUC
rnacentral:rRNA from 1 species